rnacentral:rRNA from 1 species
UACAGAGGGUGCGAGCGUUAAUCGGAAUUACUGGGCGUAAAGCGCGCGUAGGCGGCUUUGCAAGUCGGGUGUGAAAUCCCCAGGCUUAACCUGGGAACUGCAUUCGAGACUGCAUUGCUAGAGUAAGGGAGAGGGAUGUGGAAUUCCAGGUGUAGCGGUGAAAUGCGUAGAUAUCUGGAGGAACACCGGUGGCGAAGGCGGCAUCCUGGACCGGUAUUGACGCUGAGGCGCGAAAGCCAGGGGAGCAAACGGG